GAUGAACGCUGGCGGCGUGCCUAACACAUGCAAGUCGAGCGAUCCUCUUCGGAGAAGAGCGGCGGACGGGUGAGUAACGCGUGGGUAACCUGCCCUGUACACACGGAUAACAUACCGAAAGGUAUGCUAAUACGAGAUAAUAUGCUUUUAUCGCAUGGCAGAAGUAUCAAAGCUCCGGCGGUACAGGAUGGACCCGCGUCUGAUUAGCUAGUUGGUAAGGUAACGGCUUACCAAGGCGACGAUCAGUAGCCGACCUGAGGGGGUGAUCGGCCACAUUGGAACUGAGACACGGUCCAAACUCCUACGGGAGGCAGCAGUGGGGAAUAUUGCACAAUGGGCGAAAGCCUGAUGCAGCAACGCCGCGUGAGCGAUGAAGGCCUUCGGGUCGUAAAGCUCUGUCCUCAAGGAAGAUAAUGACGGUACUUGAGGAGGAAGCCCCGGUUAACUACGUGCCAGCAGCCGCCGUAC
rnacentral:rRNA from 1 species